rnacentral:rRNA from 1 species
GACGAACGCUGGCGGCGUGCUUAACACAUGCAAGUCGAACGGAGAGGACCUUCAGGGUACUCUAGUGGCGAACGGGUGAGUAACACUUGGGGGAGCUGGGCGGCACUUUGGGAUGAGACUUGGAAACUGGAUCUAAUACGCAAUAUGAUCAUGUGCUUCAUAGUAGAUGGUGGAAAGCUUAUGCGGGGUGGGAUGGGACCGCGGCCUAUCAGAUUGUUGGUGGGGUAAUGGCCUAACAAGGCGACGACGGUAAGCCGGCCUGAGAGGGUGACCGGCCACACUGGGACUGAGAUACGGCCCAGACCAAUCCGGGAGGCAGCAGUGGGGAAGAUUGCACAACGGGAGCAAGCCUGCUGCAGCGACGCCGCGUGAGGGAUGACGGCAUUCGGGUUGUAACCCUCUUUCAGGACAGACGAAGAGAAAGUGACGGUAUCUUAAGAAGAAGGCCCGGCCAACUACGUG